CAGCUUGUUCUUUUGGAUAACUCUCGUCAUCAAUUACAUUGGUACUUAUUAAUAAAUAUCACUGGAAUUACAUUGGUACUUAUUAAAUAUCACUGGAAUGGAAAACUCUAUUCGAAGUUCCAAGUGCAAGCAGUAACUUAAUUUUAGUUUUAUGCCUCUCCCUUUCUCUCUCCUACAGUUUUAUGAACAACUCUAUCAUUCUCUCUCCAUCUCCCUCUCCCUCACUGGCCAAAGGCCAAAGGCAGCAAAAAUCAUGAAACUUGAGAUAAACCUCCAAAACAAACUAUACCAUAUGCUACAUCCAAUCAUAUAUUUUAGACUGAAUUUUACCGAGGUGAUAAAACACCCAAGAAUUAGAACAAGAAAAAGAUAUCUGUACCUCCACUCAACAAAAUUAUU
rnacentral:lncRNA from 1 species